rnacentral:rRNA from 1 species
CCCGCACAAGCGGAGGAGCAUGUGGUUUAAUUCGAUGAUACGCGAGGAACCUUACCUGGGCUCGAACGUAAGAUGACUGUAGGUGAAAAGCUUUACAUCUCUUCGGAGCAUUUUACGAGGUGCUGCAUGGUUGUCGUCAGCUCGUGCCGUGAGGUGUCGGGUUAAGUCCCAUAACGAGCGCAACCCUACCUUUAGUUGCCAUCAGGUAAUGCUGGGGACUCUAAAGGAACUGCCUACGCAAGUAGUGAGGAAGGCGGGGAUGACGUCAAAUCAGCACGGCCCUUACGUCCAGGGCUACACACGUGCUACAAUGGCCGAUACAGAGGGCAGCUACCUGGUGACAGGAUGCAAAUCUCCAAAGUCGGUCUCAGUUCGGAUCGGAGUCUGCAACCCGACUCCGUGAAGUUGGAUUCGCUAGUAAUCGCGCAUCAGCCAUGGCGCGGUGAAUACGUUCCCGGGCCUU